UUUAGUUAGAGUUUGAUCCUAGCUCAGGAUGAACGCUGGCGGCGUGGAUAAGGCAUGCAAGUCGAACGGUCCGCCCUCAUUGACGACAUUUAUAGCAAUAUUUGUGUCGAAGAUGUGGCGGAUAGUGGCGAACGAGGUAGUAAUACAUAGGAACUUCCCCUUUAGUCGUGAAUAAUCUGUCGAAAGAUGGACUAAUACAUGAUGGUCCCAGCCUUCUGAAAUAAAAUUUACGAAUAGUGAGAUAAAAUUGGUUAAAUAUAAAUCAAAAUUAUUCUUGCUGAAAGUAGAAGGUAUUUCAGAAGGCUGGGUAAAGCCAAAAUUAAUUUUUUGUACGCUAAAGGAAAGGCCUGUGCGAUAUCAGCUAGUUGGCGGUGUAAUAGACCACCAAGGCUAUGACGUCUAGGGGAGGUGAGAGCCUGACCCCCACCGAUGGUACUGAGACACGGACCAUACACCUACGGGUGGCUGCA
rnacentral:ncRNA from 1 species